UUGCUUAUAUAGCGAAAUUUUUAAACAGAAAAAUCCAAUUUUCAGAAGGAGCGGAAUAAAAAGAAACAUUCUUAACUGAAUAAGGUGAGAGAUGUGAAGGUAAUAAAAAAAUGAUUUUCUGAAGAAGAUAUGCAAUUUUUACCUCUUCCCUCAUUCGAACGAUGGAUGCCUACAGAGUUGAGGUUUCUAACACUCUCUUCUUUGUCUAGAGAAGAUUACCGGAGAUUUUGUAUGUCAGAAAUAAGGAUUACGGCGCUAACUCUGGCUCCGAAUCUUAAGUGCUGUCGUGUUUCUUUCCCAUGUUUAUUAUCACGUUCAAGUAGCUUACCAUGAUAGAUAAGACGUCCGCUAAUCUAAGGUCAAUUGCGAUUCGAUCAACAAAUCCAUGAAUUACUAAAUCAUACGAAGCGAAAAUACAGACCUCCCAAUUAUCUAGAUAUCAGACACCAGGAUGAUUAUCUGGAUCAUUUUCAAAUCAGAUGGCAGCACUGCACCACCAUAGGAGACUGCCUCCAACAGUGACAUCCUUACUGCUGGGACCUUUGGUGAUGAUUACGCCUCCAGUUACCUGUUUCAUACACCAUUCUUUGUGUUAAUUAAAUGUUAUUUCAUUAAGUGG